UUAUUGGAGAGUUUGAUCCUGGCUCAGGAUGAACGCUGGCGGCGUGCCUAAUACAUGCAAGUCGAGCGAAUGGAUUAAGAGCUUGCUCUUAUGAAGUUAGCGG
rnacentral:rRNA from 2 species